rnacentral:tRNA from 1 species
CUCUGGGUGGUACAAAUUGUUAGUACACUUGGCUGCUAAUCAAAAGGCUGGAGGUUCAAGUCUACCCAGAGG